rnacentral:rRNA from 1 species
AAAAGAAACCAACAGGGAUUACCUCAGUAACGGCGAGUGAAGCGGUAACAGCUCAAAUUUGAAAUCUGGCUCUUUCAGGGUCCGAGUUGUAAUUUGUAGACGAUGCUUUGGGUGUGGUGCCGGUCUAAGUUCCUUGGAACAGGACGUCAUAGAGGGUGAGAAUCCCGUAUGUGAUCGGUCGCCUUCGCCCGUGUAAAGCUCGUUCGACGAGUCGAGUUGUUUGGGAAUGCAGCUCAAAAUGGGUGGUAAAUUUCAUCUAAAGCUAAAUAUUGGCCAGAGACCGAUAGCGCACAAGUAGAGUGAUCGAAAGAUGAAAAGCACUUUGGAAAGAGAGUUAAACAGUACGUGAAAUUGUUGAAAGGGAAGCGCUUGCAACCAGACUUGGGCUGUCGCAAUCAUCCGGGGCUCGCCCCGGUGCACUUGUGGCGCACAGGCCAGCAUCAGUUUCGGUGGUGGAUAAAGGCCUUGGGAAUGUAGCUUCUUUCGGGGAGUGUUAUAGCCCUCGGUGCAAUGCCGCCUACCGGGACUGAGGACCGCGCUUCGGCUAGGAUGCUGGCGUAAUGGUUGUAAGCGACCCGUCUUGAAACACGGACCAAGGAGUCUAACAUCUAUGCGAGUGUUUGGGUGUCAAACCCAUACGCGUAAUGAAAGUGAACGGAGGUGAGAACCCGUUAGGGUGCAUCAUCGACCGAUCCUGAUGUCUUCGGAUGGAUUUGAGUAAGAGCAUAGCUGUUGGGACCCGAAAGAUGGUGAACUAUGCCUAAAUAGGGUGAAGCCAGAGGAAACUCUGGUGGAGGCUCGCAGCGGUUCUGACGUGCAAAUCGAUCGUCAAAUUUGGGUAUAGGGGCGAAAGACUA